UGGAAUUCUGGCCUGUAGCAGGCCUAAGGGGUCAAAGGUCAAGGGGAGGACAAGGGGGACUUCCUAAGGUUCCCAGGGGACUGCCAGCCAAACAGGCAGCCAGCAAGCCAGGCUGUUGUGCAAGUUCUGGGCUGGACCAUGAGGGCAGGCUGGCAGAAGAGCCACGCCUGGCCCAGCCCCCGCCCGGCCUAUCCGAUCCAUGCUCUGGAGCUGGAGUAGUGCCCACUCGCCCACUCUCCUCCAGGAAAGCAGGACUCCGCCCCCCCAAGGUGAAGAAGUUGAGGUUCUGAGGAUGUGAUUAAACAGACAGCUGAUACACGGCAGAGCAGAGAGUUGCACUUGCUCUUUCCAGAUCACCUCCCUGUCCCUCAGCUCGACCCACUUUGGCUGGAGAUGGAGAGGGAGCACAAGGAAGGCCUAGGACAGCGUUUGGUUCCCAGUGGUCAUGGGAUCACUGCUGACUGAUGCUGAAUCUUGUGGAGAAGGGACUGGAUCCUGGAUGGAGCUUUGUGUCAGCUACCAAGUUCUCCUCUUACAUUCAGCAUCUGUAAAAUCAGGAGGCCUGCCCGGGCUUGUUCUCAGUGGUUGCUGGUCACCAACCUAGGGCCACCCUAACUUCUCAUGACCUUGUGAUUCCUGACUGCUCAGCUCAAGGGCUACUUCAAAAGCUGCAAAAAGGCAAAGCUGUUCAGGGAGCGGAAAGUACCCAGUCGGGGGGCGUUCAGCGAACAGGGGCUAAUCCCCUUGAAAGAAGGAUCCUACUUCGUUUUCUUUUAUUGGCUGUCCUAGACCAAAGUUUGCCCUUCUGCCUCAGUUUUCCCCUCUGGAAUCCAGACAUAAGAAUGGUGUUCCUUUCCUGGUGGCUUCAGUAUGAAUAGCUCCCUGAAUAUCAUCAUCUCCAUGUUCCAGGUGGAGGAGAAAGCUGAGGGCUCCAGCUGCCCAAGAACUAGAACUAUCUAGCAUCUUCUUUCUCUCCCACUGCCCACCCGAGGCCUGCCUCUCACCACCAUUCAUCCUCAACCUGCUCCAGGGCCCAGCCUGGCUCCAUGUAAGCAAAGCUGCCAGCAGGGUCCUUUGUGGUGCUGCUCCCGUGUGGCACUGCCUAGGGGCCCCACCAUGGGGCAACAGAUGGACCUAUGGUCUCUACAGAACAAUAGUGGGGGAGGGGCCCUGGCAUCGCCCGCCCCAAACAGGAAGCGCUGCAUGAGCUUCAAAGAACUGGCAGGGCCAAGGGGCUGAGUGGCUGGAGCCAGUGCCAGGACCGGCGGCUGCCUGAAGAGAUGCCUGCCAGCCUCAGGAUGCCCAGCCUGCAGUGGGGGUGGGGCUGCAGUGGCCAGGGCAGCUGGGUCUCCGGCAGACGAGGCUUUGCACCCUCAGUGAAGCAGCCACUGACCUGAGACAGGCUGAGGGAAGGGGGCUCAGACACCAGGCUGUUUCCUGGACCUGCUGCCACUAGCUAGCGGGGCUGCAGGUUCUUUCCCAGGCCACAGUGGGUCUGGCCCUCCAGCAAGUAACCAUGAGGGGCAGGGCUGGCACCAAGCCUGCACCCACUCCCUGCCUCCUGCUCCCAGCUGCUCUGCUCAGAGCCUUUUCCUCUCCACUUCCUGUUCACACAGGGGGGGGCGGGAAGUGGAGGGAGGAAGUUGGGGGGAGGCGUGUAGGGGGGACCCAUUGAAUAAAAGGAAUUAACCGUUUCCCUCCUCUGACCUCUGGGAAUUUCCGCCUGUGAAAGUGUCUCGAAGAAUCUGCAGAGCUGGGGGAGUGGGGAGGAGGUGUG
ensembl:lncRNA